rnacentral:rRNA from 1 species
UACGAAGGGUCCAAGCGUUAUCCGGAUUUAUUGGGUUUAAAGGGUGCGUAGGCGGCUUAUUAAGUCAGUGGUGAAAGCCUGCAGCUUAACUGCAGAACUGCCAUUGAUACUGAUGAGCUUGAGUAUAGUUGAGGUGGGCGGAAUGUGUCAUGUAGCGGUGAAAUGCUUAGAUAUGACACAGAACACCGAUUGCGAAGGCAGCUCGCUAAACUAUAACUGACGCUGAGGCACGAAAGCGUGGGGAGCGAACGGG